rnacentral:lncRNA from 10 species
AGAGUAUCAGAUGGCUGAGGAGACACAGAGACAUGAUCUCCCCACGCUGGGUCGAACUAUUGAAGCUGAACACACGUUAUGCACAAAAUAUACACAUGACCGACCAUUGCGUACUAAUGGGGCAUAAAGGCAAGAUAAUGUCCCUAAGGAUGGCUUUCCCUGGAAAGAAAUGGCGAGUUUCAGUGUAGAACAUUUCAGAAGAUAUUUUUCCUGAGAGAAAAUAAUGACUUGGGAGUCAGGCUCUGGACUGAUAUGAAGUCAGAAAUGCCCCUUCCUUUUCUAGAGUUGAGAAAUAGACGGUCCACAGCGGACAACUUAGAAUGGAAUAAGGGAGAUGUGUUUGAGGCACUACCAUUGGAAGAUGUGCUGGGGAGAAGCCCAGCCCAGCAACAUGCGGCAGGACCACAUCUCGGCAGAGCUGAAGACAGAGACAUUGCAGCGACAAGGACAACUGGCAUGCCUCACAUUCCUCAGUGUUGAAAACAAUAAAAGGAGGGGGAAUGAGAGAAAAAUCAAAUUUCUACGAAGAGAUGUCAGCAGUAAAUUUAAUGCAGGUGCAAUAUUCUCCAAACAAAGGACGUUUUGUUUCUACCGUCUGGGCUCUGUGAAAACCUGCUCCACCUCCUCCUUGCUAUGUGUUUUCCUUUUUAUCUGUGUAAGGUAGAUUAAAAUGUUGAUACCCUUCCCUGGCAAAAGUAUUUUUAAUGUUCUUAGUACAGCUGUUGAAGAAGUAUUAACUUCCCCCAAAGCUUAGCUUCAUUGGGUGUAACAAAGCUUUCUCCCCCUUAAGGUUCAAUUCGUUUGUUGAGCUUUGUCUCUUCCUGAUUGCUUCUGUGAAUUAAUGCAACACUGUUUUUACCACUUGUUCUCUGUUUCUAUGAUAUAAUAAAGGAAAUUAAAAAUGAAAAAAUAAACACUGAUUUUAGCUGAAGUAACAAAUUUAGAAAAUAAAAAAUAAAAUUCCCACCAUGAAUUAAGUUAAAGAACAUUUUAUAAGAGAAAUACAUAAAAAUGUACAUUGUUUGUCUUCCUUUAUUUCAGCUGCCACAAACAGAGUGAAUGCAGAGCCAUCAAGAGGUGGGCCUCUCCCAGAUGGCAACUUGUUUAUCAAAGCAUGAAAACCAAGAAGGUGAUAAAGAAAGUCUGCUAGCAAGACAUAAGUCACAAUCUUUUGUAAUCUAUUUAUGAAAGUGACAUCCCAUCAUCUUGACCACAAUCUAUUGAUUAGAAACAAGUACAGCUCACCCUCAACAAGAGGAGAUAAUAUCCAGGUGUGAAUUGCACAAGACUAAUCCAGUGGAAAAACUAUAUUCGACCCAAGGAUCUGUAUCCACACAGUUUGACAAUAAUUUACUUCUUUCUGGAAGCGAUGAGCACAGUGUAAUUCCUGAGAAAUUUUAAUAAUGAUAUUUUAAUUAUAAUUAAGUGAAACCUAGCAAAGUUGGCUGUAUCUGGAGGAACUCCACUGUGGGAAACAGAUUCUUAAGAUGGCUGAAGAUGGCUGUUUCGCUGCAUCAAUGUGUGACUUUCAAUAGAUGAUCGAAGAUGGCUGUUUGGCACUGUGUCUGAAUUAAGCCAGAAGGAAGGAGGAAGAAGAUGAAGAAAAGGCAUGCCUCUACCCCUUAGGACCACGUCUCUGAAGCUGUAUACAACAUUUCUGCUCUCAUAUAAUUGGGCAGAACUUAGUCAUAGAGCUACAUGUAGUUGCAAGGGAAGCUAUAUGCACUAAUGUGCUUAGUUAAACAUUGGGAUUCUCUUACUAAGGUACAUAAGGAGAACAUAUAUUUGGAGAGGCAACUAUCCAUCUCUGCCACAAGAUCUGAAACAAUUAUUGUGAGACUAUAAACAUAGAAAAAAGCUCCAGAGAUCAGGGGGAAGUCAGAAAUUAUUUGGGAUUCCAGUGAAUGGAAUGUUGACCAUAAAUGAGAAAUGAUGCUUGGGAUAAUUCCUAGCGAGCAUUGGCUUUUAGAGUUGGGAUUGAAGUCAACCAGCUAUAAAGAGCAAGACUGGGUGGGGUACUUUGAAAUGUCAUAUCAUUGUGUAUGGCUUUUGUGGUAGUUACUGCUUCUUUUUAGAAUAAUUCUCAUAACUAGGUAGAAAGCUCACCUUUGAAACUUCUGCAUGCCUAAUAAAAUGCUUCACUCACACCCAGUUGUUUUACUCAAGCGAGUAGUUUUAUGGUAACUGCAUUUGGGGUAACAGUCUUACAGAAGAGUUAACACAAUGGGCAGAUUCCAGGUGUGCUGUCAUUUGGAGGAGGCAAAUCCAUACAGACAAGAAGUAGAUUAGUGGUUGCCUAGAGCUGGAGGAGGGUAGGGAUAAGGAAUGGAUUACUACUGGGACUGGGUUUCUUUUUGGGGUGAUGAAAAUUUUCUAAAAUUGAUUGUGGUGAUGGUUGCCUAACUCUGUGAAUAGCAAUGAAUUGUGCUAUUGUACACUUUAGGUAAAUGGUAUGGUAUAUGAGUUAUAUCCCCAAUAAAGCUGUUAAAAAAGAAUGAGAAAGACCGAGUGACUUGCCAAG